AUUGAACGCUGGCGGCAUGCUUUACACAUGCAAGUCGAACGGUAACAGGGUGCUUGCACCGCUGACGAGUGGCGAACGGGUGAGUAAUGCGUCGGAACGUGCCGAGUAGUGGGGGAUAACGCAGCGAAAGGUGUGCUAAUACCGCAUACGUACUGAGGUAGAAAGUGGGGGACCUUCUGGACUCACGCUAUUCGAGCGGCCGACGUCUGAUUAGCUAGUAGGUGAGGUAAAGGCUCACCUAGGCGACGAUCAGUAGCGGGUCUGAGAGGAUGAUCCGCCACACUGGGACUGAGACACGGCCCAGACUCCUACGGGAGGCAGCAGUGGGGAAUUUUGGACAAUGGGCGAAAGCCUGAUCCAGCCAUGCCGCGUGUCUGAAGAAGGCCUUCGGGUUGUAAAGGACUUUUGUCAGGGAGGAAAUCCCUAGUGCUAAUAACACUGGGGGAUGACAGUACCUGAAGAAUAAGCACUGGCUAACUACGUGCCAGCCGCCGCGGUAAGAC
rnacentral:rRNA from 1 species